rnacentral:lncRNA from 10 species
GAUUAGCUGGGCCUUCUUCGGGCCAAUGCGCUGAAGACUGCGGAGAUCUCGGGCUGAGCCUUCGUUCAGCAGAUCCAGUAUUUUUUGGCGCCCAUGAGCCAGUAGCUCCGGGCUGAUCUGUAGCUCCCAGCAGUCCUCAGCCUUCUCCUCAGGCUCUAGGGCAUCCAGGGACUCCAGCUGGGAGGCAAAGGGAGAUGAGUGACACGCAGGGCAGCCAAGUGCUUUGGGCUCCUCUGCCAAGACUAGGAGCCCAGCACCAGCUACCUCCUGCGCUCCAGCCUCUUCCUCUCUUGUCAAGUGUGUCCAAAAUCCCGCCCUCAGGUCACUCUCUGGGUUAAUUCUUAUUAUGCAACUAGUGAAAGAGAGGUACUACUCAGUACCCAGUGGUAAUAUUAGCACCCUUCUCAUGGAGUUGCUGUGGAGAUCAAGUGAGUUAAUGAAUGUAAAGCACAAAAUAAGCUCUUAAAUCUGGUCCCUCAUCUCUAAAAGGGAAAGAAUAAGCUGUCUUUCAAAAAGUACAUGGGAGAAAGUAAUAUGAAUAAAUGAUACCUCCCCCAACCA